rnacentral:rRNA from 1 species
GAACAGAGCGUCAUAGAGGGUGAGAAUCCCGUCUUUGACACGGACUACCAGUGCUUUGUGAUGCGCUCUCAAAGAGUCGAGUUGUUUGGGAAUGCAGCUCAAAAUGGGUGGUAAAUUCCAUCUAAAGCUAAAUAUUGGCGAGAGACCGAUAGCGAACAAGUACCGUGAGGGAAAGAUGAAAAGCACUUUGGAAAGAGAGUUAAACAGUACGUGAAAUUGCUGAAAGGGAAACGCUUGAAGUCAGUCGCGUUGGCCAGGACUCAGCCUUGCUUUUCGCUUGGUGCAUUUUCUGGUUGACGGGCCAGCAUCGAUUUUGACCACUGGAAAAAGGCUAGGGGAAUGUGGCACCUUCGGGUGUGUUAUAGCCCUUAGUCACAUACAGUGGUUGGGAUCGAGGACCGCAGCACGCCUUUAUGGCCGGGGUUCGCCCACGUUCGUGCUUAGGAUGCUGGCGUAAUGGCUUUAAACGACCCGUCUUGAAACACGGACCAAGGAGUCUAACAUGCCUGCGAGUGUUUGGGUGGAAAACCCGAGCGCGUAAUGAAAGUGAAAGUUGAGAUCCCUGUCGUGGGGAGCAUCGACGCCCGGACCUGAACUUCGGUGAUGGAUCUGCGGUAGAGCAUGUAUGUUGGGACCCGAAAGAUGGUGAACUAUGCCUGAAUAGGGUGAAGCCAGAGG